rnacentral:misc_RNA from 1 species
CUAAACUAUACUGAGUAAUUAUAACAUUAGCAGAUAGCAGAUGGAGAUAGCAUUAAAUUAAUGCAAGUUGCCAAGUUGCAUUAAAUUAAUGCAAGUUGCUAAUGCAAAUAAAAAAAUGAAGCAACUUUGAAAAGGCUUGAAGAUGAGUGUAGAAUUGCCCUGAACACCCAACUCACCCAAAUUUAAUAGUAGAAAUGAAAAGCUAAAUUUGCAAACCAAAUCAAAUUAGCAAAUAGCAUAAAUGAAAACUCUAAAUGCAAGCUCAAAUUGCAGCAAAUGCAAUUUCAAUUAAAACUCAUUUGCAAGCAUAUACUGCAGCAAAUGAAAACACACAAUAAUCAUUAGCUUGCAACUCAGUGUAUUGCAAUGAAUGAAAACUAAAUUACAAGCAAAAAUUAUAUAGACCGUAAAUUAAAAUUCUUUUACUGGUGAAACUGCACAAACCCUAAUAAUAAUCAAUUGAAAUCAGAAAUUGCACGAACCCUAACUCAAUUUCAAUUAAAUCAUUAACAAUCAAGAAACCCAUACCCACUAUACAAAAUUAUACAAAUAACAAACCAAGCAAUAACAUAUCUGUACAAACAUGCAUCUAAGAAUUGAGAGAGUGAGUUUGAAGAAUUGACUUGUCAAAAAUGAAGAGUGCACUAGUGGCGUAAAGACUAAGGCUGCACAUUGCAAGAUAAGGAGGGAAAGUGAGAAAUGUGAUGGCUACACCGGUGAUGAGGAGGAGGUAGUGGUCAAGUAAGGAUGGGCGACAGAGGAGAUGUGACAAGGAUGUUACCGCGCUAGUCUCACAGAAGAGAAAGUGAGCGCGAGGGAGUGAGAAGAGAAGUACCGCAACGCAAGAGGAGGUUUGAAAGUAGAGUUACGAGACAGAGACUGAGGCAUUGUUUGGAUAGAGGGGUUUUGAG